CAUCCUGGUGCCAUAAAAUGAUAAACUCUAGCCAAUAAUGGGCUAAAUCGCAAAUCAUAACGCCCUGAUGUUUACACAAUGUAUAAACAAAUGUGCCAUACUCUGUGGUCUAGAUGCAGGCCUGUUUUUUCCUUCUCUUCCUCCUCAGCAGGGCUGGAUGGGCAGGUGUGAUACAUCAGGGCUGAUUACCACCCUUUAUAAGGAGCUGGAACCAGGAUGUCAGUUCGUUUGUGCUUCAGCGUGAACCUCAAUCAUCUGCACCAAACCUGGAAGCCUCGCUUUACCUUCGUCAGAGAUCAGCCUGGAAACAGUUUCAAAACCAAACUGGAACCAACUGUAACUCAGUUAGCCCUCCUAUCUGCGCUUGCCUGCCUGUUCACCCUCCAACCAAUCACAACACCGAGAAGGGACCAGGACCUGCACCGAAAACCCGGAUGUCUGCACAGCACCCCUCACCUGGACCAAACUCAAGCCACCGCCUCAAACCCACAAGACCUUUGAUCCACUGAAAGAUCCUUCCAGAUCCAACCUUAUCAAUAAACCUUCUUAAACCUAC